GGCUCAGCGUCCGACAUGGCAAAAACAGCAGAGCGCAGGAAAAGGCCACGAGGGAGAAGCGACCUUUCCGCGAAGCGAGAAAGGCUUGGCCGGAGGUGGACUCCCUCGGGAAGAACUCCACUUCCUGUGUCUUGAGCUGCUGUGCAAUUUACUUCAGCAUCCAUGCAUGCUUGGCUGGAGAAUUCUGAGAGCUGAAAUCCACAGGACUUAAAAUUGCCAAGGAAAAAGGGAGAGCAAGAAGAUGGCCAUUCUGAGAUCUGUUCUGGGGAAAAGAACUCCAUUCAAUUAAGGAGUGAUAUCGGAAGCAUGGUGGAGGGUGCUCCAAGCACCAUUGAUGGAUUCCGAACUGCCCGAAGAGAAUGAAAAGAAAACUUGUGCCUUUCUGAGGAAACAGAAGAGUUGAAAUGGAGUUUUGAGAAGAAUGUACUUGGUAAUGAAAGAGUGACAACUUUCUCCAGGUAAAAAGAUGGAUCAUCUGAACAGAGUUCCUGGAGCGAGGGACCAAGUAAAUCCAGGUGAAAGUGGUGCUUGGUGGAGCACAAUUGGGGAUUUUGGGGAAAGAUGUCAGGUAAUCUGGAAGGAGUUUGAGCCUAUUGAGCCUAAGAAUGUAGGCAAGGUUCUUGUUGUUCUCCUUUUGACAGCAUAACACCCACUUCAAAAUGGUUCCAAUGAAGCUAGGAUUUCAAUAAACAAUCUUAAGCCACAGAUGUUCCAAGAAUUCUUAUUGGAAUGAGAGAAUUGGUCUGUUCUGGAGAAAGCUUUGUUGGCUUGCCUUAGUCCUUCUUUAAAAUAUCAUUUUGUAUCGUUGUGAUAUUAUAUGCUUCUAAUUUGUAUCCCCUGCCUUGAAUUCUAAUGAAACCAAAUUUAGCUUUU